AUUGAACGCUGGCGGCAGGCCUAACACAUGCAAGUCGAGCGGAUGAGUGGAGCUUGCUCCAUGAUUCAGCGGCGGACGGGUGAGUAAUGCCUAGGAAUCUGCCUGGUAGUGGGGGACAACGUUUCGAAAGGAACGCUAAUACCGCAUACGUCCUACGGGAGAAAGCAGGGGACCUUCGGGCCUUGCGCUAUCAGAUGAGCCUAGGUCGGAUUAGCUAGUAGGUGAGGUAAUGGCUCACCUAGGCGACGAUCCGUAACUGGUCUGAGAGGAUGAUCAGUCACACUGGAACUGAGACACGGUCCAGACUCCUACGGGAGGCAGCAGUGGGGAAUAUUGGACAAUGGGCGAAAGCCUGAUCCAGCCAUGCCGCGUGUGUGAAGAAGGUCUUCGGAUUGUAAAGCACUUUAAGUUGGGAGGAAGGGCAGUAAGUUAAUACCUUGCUGUUUUGACGUUACCAACAGAAUAAGCACCGGCUAACUUCGUGCCAG
rnacentral:rRNA from 1 species